rnacentral:rRNA from 1 species
UACGUAGGGGGCAAGCGUUGUCCGGAUUUAUUGGGCGUAAAGAGCGUGUAGGCGGCCUGAAAGGUCAGCUGUGAAAACUCGAGGCUCAACCUCGAGACGUCGGUUGAAACCAUCUGGCUAGAGUCCGGAAGAGGAGUGUGGAAUUCCCGGGUGUAGCGGUGAAAUGCGCAGAUAUCGGGAAGAACACCCGUGGCGAAGGCGGCACUCUGGGACGGUACUGACGCUGAGACGCGAAAGCGUGGGGAGCGAACAGG